GAACGGCAGCACGGGGGCAACCCUGGUGGCGAGUGGCGAACGGGUGAGUAAUAUAUCGGAACGUACCCAGUAGUGGGGGAUAACUAUCCGAAAGGAUAGCUAAUACCGCAUACGAUCUGUGGAUGAAAGCAGGGGAUCUUCGGACCUUGUGCUAUUGGAAUGGCCGAUAUCUGAUUAGCUAGUUGGUAGGGUAAAAGCCUACCAAGGCGACGAUCAGUAGCUGGUCUGAGAGGACGACCAGCCACACUGGAACUGAGACACGGUCCAGACUCCUACGGGAGGCAGCAGUGGGGAAUUUUGGACAAUGGGGGCAACCCUGAUCCAGCAAUGCCGCGUGAGUGAAGAAGGCCCUCGGGUUGUAAAGCUCUUUUGUCAGGGAAGAAACGGUGAUCUCUAAUAUAGAUUGCUAAUGACGGUACCUGAAGAAUAAGCACCGGCUAACUACGUGCCAGCAGCCGCGGUAAUACGUAGGGUGCAAGCGUUAAUCGGAAUUACUGGGCGUAAAGCGUGCGCAGGCGGUUUUGUAAGUCUGAUGUGAAAUCCCCGGGCUCAACCUGGGAACUGCAUUGGAGACUGCAAGGCUAGAGUGUGUCAGAGGGGGGUAGAAUUCCACGUGUAGCAGUGAAAUGCGUAGAGAUGUGGAGGAAUACCGAUGGCGAAGGCAGCCCCCUGGGAUAACACUGACGCUCAUGCACGAAAGCGUGGGGAGCAAACAGGAUUAGAUACCCUGGUAGUCCACGCCCUAAACGAUGUCUACUAGUUGUCGGGACUUAAUUGUCUUGGUAACGCAGCUAAC
rnacentral:rRNA from 1 species